UCAUCGCUCGAGAAAUCUUUUCAUCAAUUGUGACGUCUAAUAAAAUGACGUUGACAUCCGACUAUUGUGAAAACAUGAGUAUUCUUUCAUGCAUUUUACACAAAUAUUUAUAAGCUGUAUUAUGUGCUGUGCUUGCGGCCUUUGCAAAUUACUUUGCAUGCUUAUACCGAUAACAAUAGCAGUUAUUGUGGGCGUGAUUAUAUACUACUCUGUGAAGAAGAUCUCUAAACGCGACUUACCUUAAGCGUUAAACAGUAUUACUGAAAAAUUAUAGAUUAAUACUUAUAUUUUAUAAUGUAUUUGUAUAAAUAAUGUAAUGUACCAAUAAAUUUUAUU